GACGAACGCUGGCGGCGUGCUUAACACAUGCAAGUCGAACGCUGAAGCGCAGCUUUUGUUGGGUGGAUGAGUGGCGAACGGGUGAGUAACACGUGAGUAACCUGCCCCCUUCUUUGGGAUAACGCCCGGAAACGGGUUCUAAUACUGGAUAUUCACUGGUCUUCGCAUGGGGGUUGGUGUAAAGGGGUUUUUUGGUGGGGGAUGUGCUUGCGGCCUAUCAUCUUGUUGGUGGGGUGAUGGGCUACCAAGGCUUUGACGGGUAGCCGGCCGGAGAGGGUGACCGGGAACAUUGGGAGUGAGAGACGGCCCAGGGUGGUACGAGAAGGGGAAGUUGGGAAAAUGGGACAAUGCGGGCAAGGCUGAUGCAGCGAAGUGGCGUGAGGGAUGGGGGCCUUCGGGUUGUGAACCUCUUUAGAUCAUGGUCAAGCCGGAACAAUGGUUGUGGUGAGGGUAGUGGGUAAAGAAGCGCCGGCUAACUACGUG
rnacentral:rRNA from 1 species